GGAUGUCCUGAGGCGUGGUUGCUGGGAGCAGUGUCUACUACAUAAGCCCAUUUAGCGACUACAAUGUUGAGCAGUGGAGGAAGGUAGAUCCUAAGAGCUUGGUGAACAGCCAGUCUAACAGUGAUCAUCUUUAAGGACAUCAUGGUACAAUCAACAGCGGAUACAAGGUCAGCCAGAGACAAACAGCUGUGAAGCAGAGGCAGAUGCAAGCCUGGAGGUCCUUGUGUAGAUGGGAUCCUGGAUGUUGAUCCAUUGCCGGCCGAAGGUGCUCUACGUCCCUCCUUGGGUAUCACUGGCAUUUGGAAGAAUACUAUUGUCUAAAAUUAUUAUCUCUGCUUUUCUUUCCACCCCCUAUCACCAACUAUCUUCCUUUUUAUUUGUAGAGUGGCUGUAUAUUAUCUCACCUUAACCUUUGAGGAUUUUUUUUUUUACCUUUGAGGAAUUCUUAAUUCUUGUAAAGAAACAUCUCCGUUUAUUCUGAUUGUAUUCUUCUUUUGAUUGAGGCAUAUCUGGCUUUGGACUUGCUUUGAAACAACAUGAACCCACUUCUCUUUGCAUACUAGGAUUAUGGGCAUGUGCCAACCUUCCCUGUUCUCAUUCUGAUUAGAGUUUCCCUUUCUAUUCCCAUAAGCCACUGGGAAAGCAAAAUUUAAAGCAGAAAAUCUUCCAUAAGAGAAUGAUAACAUUCCCCCUUUGUCCCUUGAGAUUUUAAUAAAUCAUAAAUCCACAGA